UAGGAAAUAUGGGGCGAGAGGAUUGGCAGAAAUUGCUGCUUUUUCAGCUCAGUUUUUUUCCCUGGAUAGUUUAGUUCAACCCUUUGCCUUUUCUUUCUCUCAUUGAGCCAUCAGGUCAAGCAGAGAAAAAACCAAGCACACUUACAGUCAUAUUUUGAUUAUUCUUAAUUAACCAGGGGGCUUCCCUGGUUCAGACAGUAAAGAAUCCAUCUGCAAUGUGGGAAACCUGGGUUCGAUCCCUGGGCUAGGAAGAUCCCCUGGAGGAGGGCAUGGCUACCCACUUCAGUAUUCUUGCCUGGAGAAUCCCCAUGGACAGAGGGUCCUGACAGGCUACAGUCCAUGGAGUCGAAAAGAGUUGGACACAACUAAGUGACUAAGCAAUCAGAAGGUAAAAAUUUAAGGAUAAAAUAUUAUUUUUAACAGUCUUACCAAAUGUGCUUUAUUAUUAUGUUUGAAGCCAAACUUUAUCUACCUCUAAUCCCUAACCUCAUCCUUAGGACUAAUAUAUCGUCCUUUGCAUUUCAUGUACUGACCCCGGAGAAAUCUCAUGACACCAUGAUCCUCAUUUAAAUCCAUGUUUGGCCCAUCUGUUUCUUUUUUUAAGGUUCACUUCUCCACUUUGUUCUGUGCCCUGGGAGUUGGAUAUCUUCAUCACCAUACCUUACUCUCUAGCUCAAAGUUGGCUCGGCCAGUGGGAGCCUUGGCAGAGGGUCCUGACUGCUCUGCUAAUCUUCCUUCAAGUCUGUGGAAUUUUCACAUGAUUUUUCUUCAGAGAAUAUUCUAGGAUAUUUGGGGAAUUGUUAUCAGAGUCCAUGGCUGCACUGGACUUGGAGAUGAAUGGAGUCAAAGAGGUAAAUGCGCUUUUGACCAGUUGUUAACCUGGUGGGGCAGAGGCUUGAGAUGGUGGGAGGUAUCACUGGAAAUGAAGCUGGAAUGAGAGGUUGGGGCUCAGAACUUUGGACUUUAUGUUGUAGACCAUGAGAAGCCAUGGAGAUUUUAUUAGGCAGGAAGUCUGUGUUGAGUCUCUGGCAAUGCUCUAGAGCACAAACUGGCUGCAGGAGGGACUGGAGAGAAAAGACCCGUUGUGACACUUUUAUAAUCCAGGUAGAAAAGUAUUGAAGGUUCUCAUGUUUGGGGAGUUGAGGAAAAGAUAAUGCAUUUCGUUUUAGACAUAAGGAUACAUUUUAGUGUCUGUGUGGUAGUCCGCAGGAAGGCUGGGUAAGUGUUUGGAACUGCCUGAGGCAAGGAAUCAGUGCCCAAAACAUGACUGACACAGAGACCUUUGACAGCAUGGUCACAAAAGCAAGAGAAAAAUGAAAGCAAACGGUGUGAAAAUCAUGAGAGAAAGGAGAGGUGGUUCUGAAAUGAGCAAAUUAUCUAGUCAGGAAGUAGAGUAUUUUCCUUUCUCCA
ensembl:lncRNA